UGUUUCCUGGGCGGGUUCGCCCGCCUCCAGGACCACAUGAUAAACCUUUUUUAUGCAGUUGCAAUCAGCGUCAGUACAACAAAUGUAAAUCAUUUACAACUUUCAACAACGGAUCUCUUGGUUCUGGCAUCGAUGAAGAACGCAGCGAAAUGCGAUACGUAGUGUGAAUUGCAGAAUUCAGUGAAUCAUCGAAUCUUUGAACGCACAUUGCGCCCUUUGGUAUUCCAAAGGGCAUGCCUGUUCGAGCGUCAUUUGUACCCUCAAGCUUUGCUUGGUGUUGGGCGUUUUUUGUCUUUGGUUUUGUCCAAAGACUCGCCUUAAAACGAUUGGCAGCCGGCCUACUGGUUUCGCAGCGCAGCACAUUUUUGCGCUUGCAAUCAGCAAAAGAGGACGGCACUCCAUCAAGACUCUAUAUCACUUUUGACCUCGGAUCAGGUAGGGAUACCCGCUGAACUUAAGCAUAUCAAUAAGCGGAGGA
rnacentral:rRNA from 1 species